rnacentral:rRNA from 1 species
GAUGAACGCUCGCGGCAGGCCUAAUACAUGCAAGUCGAACGAGAUUAAGAGGCUUGCUUCUUAUGAAAGUGGCGCACGGGUGCGUAACGCGUAUGCAACCUACCUUAAUCAGGGGGAUAGCCCGAAGAAAUUCGGAUUAAGACCGCAUAAAAACACAGGAUAGCAUUAUCCAAUGUUCAAAUAUUUAUAGGAUUAAGAUGGGCAUGCGUGUCAUUGGCUAGUUGGCGGGGUAACGGCCCACCAAGGCGACGAUGACUAGGGGAUCUGAGAGGAUGACCCCCCACACUGGUACCGCGACACGGACCAGAAUCCUACGGGGGGCAGCAGUAAGGAAUAUUGGUCAAUGGAGCGAACUCUGAACCCGCCAUGCCGCGUGCAGGAAGACAGCCCUCUGGGUCGUAAACUGCUUUUAUUCGGGAAUAAACCUUUCUACGUGUAGGAAGCUGAAUGUACCGAAGGAAUAAGGAUCGGCUAACUCCGUG